GACGAACGCUGGCGGCGUGCCUAACACAUGCAAGUCGAGCGGAGACAGAUUUGAGCUUGCUUGAAACUGUUUUAGCGGCGGACGGGUGAGUAACGCGUGAGCAACCUUUCUCUCAGUGGGGAAUAACACAGGGAAACUUGUACUAAUACCGCAUGAGACCACAUUGUCGCAUGGCAAAGGGGUCAAAGAUUAAUCGCUGAAAGAUGGUCUCGCGUCUGAUUAGCUAGUUGGUGAGGUAACGGCUCACCAAGGCGACGAUCAGUAGCCGGUCUGAGAGGAUGAACGGCCACAUUGGGACUGAGAUACGGCCCAGACUCCUACGGGAGGCAGCAGUGGGGAAUAUUGGGCAAUGGGCGAAAGCCUGACCCAGCAACGCCGCGUGAAGGAAGAAGGCCUUCGGGUUGGUAAACGUUCUUUACCUAGGACGAACAAAUGACGGUACCUGGAGAAAAGACAACGGCGUAACUACGU
rnacentral:rRNA from 1 species